UUGAACGCUGGCGGCAGGCCUAACACAUGCAAGUCGAACGGUAACAGGAAGAAGCUUGCUUCUUUGCUGACGAGUGGCGGACGGGUGAGUAAUGUCUGGGAAACUGCCUGAUGGAGGGGGAUAACUACUGGAAACGGUAGCUAAUACCGCAUAACGUCGCAAGACCAAAGAGGGGGACCUUCGGGCCUCUUGCCAUCGGAUGUGCCCAGAUGGGAUUAGCUUGUUGGUGGGGUAACGGCUCACCAAGGCGACGAUCCCUAGCUGGUCUGAGAGGAUGACCAGCCACACUGGAACUGAGACACGGUCCAGACUCCUACGGGAGGCAGCAGUGGGGAAUAUUGCACAAUGGGCGCAAGCCUGAUGCAGCCAUGCCGCGUGUAUGAAGAAGGCCUUCGGGUUGUAAAGUACUUUCAGCGGGGAGGAAGGGAGUAAAGUUAAUACCUUUACUCAUUGACGUUACCCGCAGAAGAAGCACCGGCUAACUCCGUGCCAGCAGCCGCGGUAAUACGGAGGGUGCAAGCGUUAAUCGGAAUUACUGGGCGUAAAGCGCACGCAGGCGGUUUGUUAAGUCAGAUGUGAAAUCCCCGGGCUCAACCUGGGAACUGCAUCUGAUACUGGCAAGCUUGAGUCUCGUAGAGGGGGGUAGAAUUCCAGGUGUAGCGGUGAAAUGCGUAGAGAUCUGGAGGAAUACCGGUGGCGAAGGCGGCCCCCUGGACGAAGACUGACGCUCAGGUGCGAAAGCGUGGGGAGCAAACAGGAUUAGAUACCCUGGUAGUCCACGCCGUAAACGAUGUCGACUUGGAGGUUGUGCCCUUGAGGCGUGGCUUCCGGAGCUAACGCGUUAAGUCGACCGCCUGGGGAGUACGGCCGCAAGGUUAAAACUCAAAUGAAUUGACGGGGGCCCGCACAAGCGGUGGAGCAUGUGGUUUAAUUCGAUGCAACGCGAAGAACCUUACCUGGUCUUGACAUCCACAGAACUUUCCAGAGAUGGAUUGGUGCCUUCGGGAACUGUGAGACAGGUGCUGCAUGGCUGUCGUCAGCUCGUGUUGUGAAAUGUUGGGUUAAGUCCCGCAACGAGCGCAACCCUUAUCCUUUGUUGCCAGCGGUCCGGCCGGGAACUCAAAGGAGACUGCCAGUGAUAAACUGGAGGAAGGUGGGGAUGACGUCAAAUCAUCAUGCCCUUUAUGUCCUGGGCUACACACGUACUACAAUGGGUGUAACAGAGGGAAGCAACACAGCGAUGUGAAGCGAAACCCAAAAAGCACCCCCAGUUCGGAUUGAAGGCUGAAAUUCGCCUUCAUGAAGCCGGAAUUGCUAGUAAUGGCAGGUCAGCAUACUGCCGUGAAUACGUUCCCGGGCCUUGUACACACCGCCCGUCACACCAUGAGAGUUGGGGAUACCCGAAGCCUGUGAGCCAACAUAUCUAUGAGGCAGCAGUCGAAGGUAGAAUCAAUGAUUGGGGUG
rnacentral:rRNA from 1 species